rnacentral:sRNA from 1 species
UGGGCUUCAUCAACAAGUUUACAUAUGGACUUAGGCUCGAUUCCACCCGCCUAGGUUGGAUGGGCGUGCUUCGUUGGAAAGCAUGGAUCCGCCUAGGCUGUCCCGAGUGUGAGCGAGGUGUGAGUGUCGCCCAUGGGGACAUCUCGGUAUUUCGUGCGCAAGACGACUAUACCGCCACCCAAACGGCCUAGGAGAAUCCAUGUCAGCCCAUGCCAUGACACGCCCAUUCUCUUCGGCGACGAGGUGAAAAGAUGUCCGUGGGGACAUCUCGGUAAUAUCAUGCGAACAAGUUAUAUACCGCCACCCCUAGGCCUUGAAGAACACCGAAAAGGAUGGUAGUACUAUUUAAUGUUGGAACGUCAAAUGAGAUUAAAAUAAAUAUAAAUAAUUACUAGUGGUAUUAAUUGCACUUGCAAUUGUUAUAAAA